GUAGACAAGUUGUGUAAAGUAACAUUAAAAUUGUGAAGAUUAAAAGUACAAGAGCCAUCAUAAACAGUCAUUCUUAAAAUUUUGUUUUGGCUUUGUUAUUUGUAGCUGUAGUUUUUAAAAAGGAAUAAACAGGUUUUUGUGUAAAUAUGUUGGAAUGACUAUUAUAGAGCAUCUUUAAACUGGAAUACAUGUAAUUACUAACACUGGUUGUUUGAUGUAUUUUUCAGUGCAUAAAGUAUGUGUAAAUCUGUAUAAGUGAAAUACCUAUAAAUAAAAUUGUUUCUGCAUUGCAAUAACAUAUCUUUUGAUAUUUUUUGAAGUGCUUGUUGUCAGUAGGGUCUACCAAUUUCAUUAACAUCAUCAGGGAUCCUAAAAUAAUUUUUAGUACAUUAAUAUCUUGCAGUUUGAUGUUAUAACUCAUUAUCUGUGUUGUGUUAACUAGAACUUUAUAUAUUGGCAUCCCUGGUCACUAAUAUUGUGAGAUAACUGAUUCAAAGCAGUGAAGU
rnacentral:lncRNA from 1 species